AGAGGAGAAGCAACAAGUUGUAGGAAGUUAACUUAUCUAGUCUCAGACGCUGGAGGCACCUGCAUUUCUAGUCACUUCAGUUCUGGCCAAAUUGUUAUCAACUCUAGUUUCUGAGGGACCGCCAGCCCAGGAUUCCUAUUGGGGUCACCUUUGUGCCUCCCUAUCUUAAGAGCACACUUGGGCGGGUCGGGGCGGGACGUGCUGGGUGUAGGUGACUCAACACCGGACAGUUUUGCUUCCAGAGGCUGACACGCUCCUGCGCGGUAGUUGUUAAAGGGUUGGGACACGAAGAUACUCUUCGCCUAUUCGGGAUCUCCCAUUGUGGGAAGGAGGCUGAGUGGUCCCGGCCACCGGGUGAAGGGAGAACGGGAACACAGCGCUGUCAUCGCCGGAGAGCUGCGAGCCCCGACUUCCUCGCCAGGCUCUCCAGUACAUUCCGAGGCUCCACCCCGGUAACGCCACGCUGACGUCCGCGCGUCGGAGGCCGCCAUAGGUGCGCGUCGGCGCCCAGGAGGACGUGUGGCGCGUGGACUACAUCAGGUCCAGCCCUGCGGGACCCCAGCAGGCGCUUCCGGGCAAGGUUCUGUGCACCUGUUUUCUCCUUCUACGCGAGUAUCUUUCCCCUCCGGAAAGAAUGGGAUAUGCCUGUGUCCAAAGGACAAGAAGAUGCGCGCCAGCAAGCCUAAGUUAACCACAGCGCGGAAGUUGAGCCCAAAGCAAGAGCGUGCCGAGCACCUUUAAGCUGUUUGUAAGCCCACGUGACUCACCAAGUGCGGGCCCCAGCGGUCACGUGACGGCGCGCGCGCCCUCGCGCAGGGAGAGCCGGCGGUGCGCGCGCCUUCGCCGCUGCCUCCCACCCACCCCCUCGACGGGAGGGUGAGGCGCGGCGCAGUGAUCGGGCGGCCGGGGUCCUGUGCGCGUGCGCAGCGAACAGCUGUCACCUAGUGCGGAACAAGUCUCCCAAAUUUCCCAAAUCUCCCUGGGCCGGAGGCCACUGUCUUCUUCUCUUCCUCCUCCACCGAGUCGUGCUCUCGCCCCAACCCGCGCGCCAGACGCUGCCCUAGCCAUCAUGGAGGUGGCCGAGGUGGAAAGUCCUCUGAACCCCAGCUGUAAGAUAAUGACCUUCAGACCUUCCAUGGCGGAGUUCCGGGAGUUCAACAAAUACCUUGCAUACAUGGAGUCUAAAGGAGCCCAUCGCGCGGGUCUUGCAAAGGUGAUUCCUCCUAAGGAGUGGAAGCCAAGACAGUGCUAUGAUGACAUUGAUAAUUUGCUCAUUCCAGCACCAAUUCAGCAGAUGGUCACAGGGCAGUCAGGACUGUUCACUCAGUACAACAUCCAGAAAAAAGCGAUGACUGUGAAGGAGUUCAGGCAGCUGGCCAACAGUGGCAAAUAUUGUACUCCAAGAUACUUGGAUUACGAAGAUUUGGAGCGCAAGUACUGGAAGAACUUAACUUUUGUGGCACCUAUCUAUGGUGCAGAUAUUAAUGGGAGCAUAUAUGAUGAGGGUGUGGAUGAAUGGAACAUAGCUCGCCUCAAUACAGUCUUGGAUGUGGUUGAAGAAGAGUGUGGCAUUUCUAUUGAGGGUGUAAAUACCCCAUAUCUCUAUUUUGGCAUGUGGAAGACCACGUUUGCAUGGCACACCGAAGACAUGGACCUCUAUAGCAUUAAUUAUCUCCACUUUGGAGAGCCCAAGUCUUGGUAUGCCAUACCUCCGGAGCAUGGAAAACGACUUGAAAGACUAGCUCAAGGUUUUUUCCCAAGCAGCUCCCAAGGGUGUGAUGCAUUUCUUCGCCACAAGAUGACAUUGAUUUCUCCGUCAGUAUUGAAGAAAUACGGUAUUCCCUUUGACAAGAUAACCCAGGAGGCUGGAGAAUUCAUGAUCACUUUCCCAUAUGGCUACCAUGCUGGUUUUAAUCAUGGUUUCAACUGUGCAGAAUCUACAAAUUUUGCUACUGUCAGAUGGAUUGACUAUGGAAAAGUUGCCAAAUUGUGCACUUGCAGGAAAGACAUGGUGAAGAUUUCAAUGGAUAUCUUUGUGAGGAAAUUUCAGCCAGACAGAUAUCAGCUUUGGAAACAAGGAAAGGAUAUAUACACCAUUGAUCACACGAAGCCUACUCCAGCAUCCACCCCUGAAGUAAAAGCAUGGCUGCAGAGGAGGAGGAAAGUAAGAAAAGCAUCCCGAAGCUUCCAGUGUGCUAGGUCUACCUCUAAAAGGCCUAAGGCUGAUGAGGAAGAGGAAGUGUCAGCUGAAGUCGAUGGGGCAGAGGUCCCUAACCCCGACUCAGGCACAGAUGACCUCAAGGUCAGUGAAAAGUCAGAAGCAGCAGUGAAGCUGAGGAACACAGAAGCAUCUUCAGAAGAAGAGUCAUCUGCUAGCGGGAUGCAGGUGGAGCAGAAUUUAUCAGAUCAUAUCAAACUCUCAGGAAACAGCUGCUUAAGUACAUCUGUAACAGAAGACAUAAAAACUGAGGAUGACAAAGCUUAUGCAUAUAGAAGUGUACCUUCUAUAUCCAGUGAGGCUGAUGAUUCCAUUCCAUUGUCUAGUGGCCAUGAGAAGCCCGAGAAAUCAGACCCAUCCGAGCUUUCAUGGCCAAAGUCGCCUGAGUCAUGCUCAUCAGUGGCAGAGAGUAAUGGUGUGUUAACAGAGGGAGAAGAGAGUGAUGUGGAGAGCCAUGGGAAUGGCCUUGAACCUGGGGAAAUCCCAGCGGUCCCCAGUGGAGAGAGAAAUAGCUUCAAAGUCCCCAGUAUAACAGAGGGAGAGAACAAAACCUCUAAGAGUUGGCGCCAUCCACUUAGCAGGCCUCCAGCAAGAUCGCCGAUGACUCUUGUGAAGCAGCAGGCGCCAAGUGAUGAAGAAUUGCCUGAGGUUCUGUCCAUUGAGGAGGAAGUGGAAGAAACAGAGUCUUGGGCGAAACCUCUCAUCCACCUUUGGCAGACGAAGUCCCCUAACUUCGCAGCUGAGCAAGAGUAUAAUGCAACGGUGGCCAGGAUGAAGCCACACUGUGCCAUCUGCACUCUGCUCAUGCCGUACCACAAGCCAGAUAGCAGCAAUGAAGAAAAUGAUGCUAGAUGGGAGACAAAAUUAGAUGAAGUUAUUACGUCGGAGGGAAAGACUAAGCCCCUCAUACCAGAGAUGUGUUUUAUUUAUAGUGAAGAAAAUAUAGAAUAUUCUCCACCCAAUGCCUUCCUCGAAGAGGAUGGAACAAGUCUUCUUAUUUCCUGUGCAAAGUGCUGCGUACGGGUUCAUGCAAGUUGUUAUGGUAUUCCUUCUCAUGAGAUCUGUGAUGGAUGGCUGUGUGCCCGGUGCAAAAGAAAUGCGUGGACAGCAGAAUGCUGUCUCUGCAAUUUGAGAGGAGGUGCUCUAAAGCAAACGAAGAACAAUAAGUGGGCCCAUGUCAUGUGCGCCGUUGCGGUCCCAGAAGUUCGAUUCACUAAUGUCCCAGAAAGGACACAAAUAGAUGUAGGCAGAAUACCUUUACAGAGGUUAAAAUUGGGAAGGCUGGGAAUCUAGACACAGCAACAAUAACAACAACAACAAUAACAAUGAAGGCUCACUGUGAAAACAUCAAUUCAUUAGGAAAGUUACAUCCCCUCUGCCACUGUUUCAGAUGCUGUUUCUCAUUCUCCAUGGGAGCAGCCAGCAUCAUGUUUAGGAUGGGGAUACAAUAACCUGAGCUCCUGAUUGAGUCAGACCCUGGACUUUCCCUUUCGUAUCUGUCAUUUUCCUCUGGAUCCUCACACCUUUGUGUUUAAUUUUUUUAAAUUUCAUUUGUUGACUUCCUAUGUGGGGUAAAAUGACUUCCUUUGAUUAAUGUACUUUCUGUAUCCUAGAGUUUCCCUUUCCCUUUGUGAUUUAGUCCAACGUGUCCUACUACAGCCUCAAAAAUUGUCAUUGGAAUCAAAAGCUUUCCAAGGUGCAUCAGGUUAAUGAUUUGGAUGCAUCCUGAGGUUGUCUCCUGUAGCAUGGAGGCAUUAUAAUAGGAGUCUCAGAAGUUACACCAUUUUUCUAUAGCACAUCACAGGCCCAGAGGCUUGAAUCUAAGAGAAUCCACCCUAUGUCUGUCAGCCUGAAUCCUACCUUCUUGCUGCACAACAAAGCAACUGAACGUAUUUUGAGUUUAGGUGAAAACUAUCAGUCAUUCAUCAAAGUUCUAUCUGGGUGAUAUAGGCUAUCGAAAACAGAUGUGGACACUGGGCUGACAGAUGUUGAGAACGGACCUGUUGCUGAAGCUCAUGUUAUCACACAUGCUGUGGGAAGAGAGGUCAUUGGCAUUCAAGAUGCAACACCUACAAUAUGGUGAAUUAAAGAUGCCAUUUGCGUGGAUCUUGGAUUAGUGCUUGUAAUUUGAUUUGCGUAUUUACAUUGCUUUGGACAUAUAAUUGUCAUCCUAUGCCCCUCCCCUCAACUACGGCUGAAAAAAAAGUAAAUAUGAAAUAGAAUAGCAUGCUAUUUAGCAUUUAUCUGUAAGCUAUACUAAUGUUUUUGUGUUGAAUAUUCUUUUUCAUUUUGGCAGCUCUGCACUAGGCCAGACAUUGUCUAGUAAUCUUCCAACAACUCUUUCAUAUUGAUAUCUUUAUUCCCAUUUUAUAUUUUGUAAAACUGGGGCUAAGAAGAGUUCAAUAAUUUGAGCUCAUACAGCCACUAAGUGACAGAACUGCUCAACCAUUUUGCUGGCUGUACUGCCUCUGGAAUAUGGUGGAGUCAAGAGAAGUGGGAGGUCUAUGACUCCCAGGAACACCUUUAAGCUGCCUCAUCAAUCCUGAGUCUCAUCAUCAUUGCCUGGACUUCACAAUAAAUGCAUCUUCUGCAGACACCGGGUUAAGAGGGUCUCUGGAGCCUGCAUCCAGUGUUCCUACGGUCGCUGCCCGGCCUCCUUCCAUGUCACGUGUGCCCAUGCUGCUGGGGUACUGAUGGAGCCUGAUGAUUGGCCUUAUGUGGUGAACAUUACAUGCUUUCGACAUAAGGUCAACCCCAAUGUGAAGUCCAAGGCUUGCGAGAAGGUCAUUUCCGUGGGUCAAACGGUCAUCACGAAGCAUCGGAACACCCGGUAUUACAGUUGCAGAGUGAUGGCUGUGACAUCGCAGACCUUCUAUGAGGUCAUGUUUGAUGAUGGCUCCUUCAGCAGAGACACAUUUCCUGAGGAUAUCGUGAGCCGAGACUGUCUGAAGCUGGGCCCACCUGCCGAGGGAGAAGUCGUCCAAGUCAAGUGGCCUGAUGGCAAACUCUAUGGAGCAAAAUAUUUUGGAUCAAAUAUUGCCCACAUGUACCAGGUUGAGUUUGAAGAUGGAUCCCAGAUAGCAAUGAAGAGAGAGGACAUCUACACGUUAGAUGAAGAGUUACCCAAGAGAGUGAAAGCUCGAUUUUCCACAGCCUCUGACAUGCGAUUUGAAGACACAUUUUAUGGAGCAGACAUUAUCCAAGGGGAGAGAAAGAGACAAAGAGUGCUGAGCUCCAGGUUUAAGAAUGAAUAUGUGGCCGACCCUGUAUAUCGCACUUUUUUGAAGAGCUCUUUCCAGAAGAAGUGCCAGAAGAGACAGUAGUCUGCAUACAUCGCUGCAGGCCACAGAGCAGCUUGGGUUGGAAGAGAGAAGAUGAAGGGACAUCCUUGGGGCUGUGCCGUGAGUUUUGCUGGCAUAGGUGACAGGGUGUGUCUCUGACAGUGGUAAAUCGGGUUUCCAGAGUUUGGUCACCAAAAAUACAAAAUACACACAAUUAAUUGGACACAGCAAUCUGAAAUCAUCUCUAGUCUUGCUUUCACUUGUGAGCAAUUGUCUUCUAUGAUCCCAAAGAAGUUUUCUAAGUGAAAGGAAAUACUAGUGAAUCACCCACAAGGAAAAGCCACUGCCACAGAGGAGGCGGGUCCCCUUGUGCGGCUUAGGGCCCUGUCAGGAAACACACGGGGACCUCUCUCUCUAGCUCCAGCAGGUGGCACCUCGGUACCCAGCGGGUAGGGCGAUAAUUUAUAUAUUUUCCACAGUCAGGGAAGGACUCUCACUUAUUUGUUUCAAAUUGCAGUUUUUAUAAAACAUUUUUAAAACACAAAUGGCAUGUAUGCUAAUGAGAUUUACCCGUGUGCUAUCUGUAUUUCCCUUGUACAGAACUUUUACAUUUUUGAAUAUUCCUAUUACUUUUGAUUGUGUCUGAUGGGAACCGAGUUGUUGGCCUUUGUGAAAUGAAAUUUUUGGCUCUUGAGAAAGAAUUCUUAUGAAUUGUUAUGCGAAUUUUAUAUAUUUAAAGAGGGAGAUCUGGGGCUGUUAUUUUUAAACACUUUUUUUCAUAAUACAUAUUCCGAGUAGAUAUUUAUAAAAUAUAUGUUUCUUUCAUUAUGUGUUUGUAAAAUUAGAGUUUAAAUAAAUAUGCUUUGAUGCAUAGUUUUGAACUAAUGUAACAUGAUUUUUCUUUUUUAAAACAGCCUGAAAAUGUACUAGUGUUUAAAAAUAAAGAUUUCCAUUUUCUCCA